CACGUAGGGUGCGAGCGUUGUCCGGAAUUAUUGGGCGUAAAGAGCUCGUAGGCGGUGUGUCGCGUCGACCGUGAAAACCUGCAGCUUAACUGUGGGCGUGCGGUCGAUACGGGCAUCACUGGAGUUCGGCAGGGGAGACUGGAAUUCCUGGUGUAGCGGUGAAAUGCGCAGAUAUCAGGAGGAACACCGGUGGCGAAGGCGGGUCUCUGGGCCGAUACUGACGCUGAGGAGCGAAAGCGUGGGGAGCAAACAGG
rnacentral:rRNA from 1 species